CCCCCAAGUAGCACUCGGUGGAGGUACAUUCAUUAGCACAAAAUGUAUGCACCUAUAUUAAAGGCUCACCCGCUAGCACCUACCUGUUGCUGGGUUUCUACAUUCUUUCUCUCCAUGCUGUUGCUUCUAAAAGGUGUUGACAAUUCACCAAACGCUUCCGGGUAGCGUGCGAGUUCGCUACUGAAGGUUUUGGUCGGACGACACUGAGCGAGAACACCCCGCUGUGGUACAUUGAGAAGACUGGUCGAGGUUUUGGUUGUGAGACGCCAGAGAGCAAAUUGUCAGUGUUUGUUCUGUCAGUGCUGCAUGAAGAGUGUUGCAGCUGUCUGUGGGGCAGGUCACCGUAUCUGAGUCCUCUUCGCGCACUGCAUGUCAUAUUGAGUGGUAACGUGCACCUCACCAUUGCUUUAGUACCUGUUUGUAGUGCCUGUGCCUAUGUGUGUUGUGUGCAGAGGUGUUUGUGUGUGAGUAGGCACAAGAACCAAGAGCACGGGUGGCGUGUCGGUCUCACUCCCCUUUUCCAGGACAGGUAACCCCCUGCAACAGCUGCUCCCUAUGCCUCUUACUAUCCUGGUGGCAGCCACUACCAACUCUCUCGCCAUUCUUCGACGAAAUCUAGCCAUGUAUUAAUAAAUAUUGUCCUUCUAUUUUGAA